UAGCUCUACCUUAGCUUCUCAUUAUACCAAAAACCCUCCCAAACUUAAGAGCCAUUCAAAUAAGGCACAGCUUAUUUGAAAUAGGGCACAACCUCUAACACCGGGUAAAUAAGGGUAACUUAAACAAAGUAGGCCUAAGAGCAGCCACCUUUAAAAAAGCGUUAAAGCUUAUCUAUAAAUACCCACAAUUUCCUAAAUCCCCAUUAACCCUUCACCACUACUGAACUAUUUUAUACCCGUAUAAAAGCUUUAAUGCUAGAACUAGUAACAAGAAAUAGCCCUUCUCCAAAAUGUAAGCUUACACCAAAAUGGACUAUCCAUUGGUAAUUAACGUAAAUGUUGUAGUCACAGCAACACACCUCUAGAAAACCCUGUGACCUCCUACGUUACCCUUACACUAGAACAUCUCAGGAAAGAUUAAAAGAGAAAGAAGGAACUCGGCAAAUCCUCAGCCCCGCCUGUUUACCAAAAACAUCGCCUCUUGACCAAGUAUAAGAGGUCCAGCCUGCCCAGUGACAAAAUUCAACGGCCGCGGUACCCUAACCGUGCGAAGGUAGCAUAAUCACUUGUUCUCUAAAUAGGGACUAGUAUCAACGGCAUCACGAGGGCUGUACUGUCUCCUUUCUCCAAUCAGUGAAACUGAUCUCCCCGUGAAGAAGCGGGGAUUAUUAUAUAAGACGAGAAGACCCCAUGGAGCUUUAAACUCAUCACUCACUUCCUCACCUCCAUGCCCGACCAUACAAGGAAUCUGUGUGAUAGUUUUGGGUUGGGGGGACCACGGAGUACAAUUUAACCUCCAUGACAAAUGGGCUAACGCCCUUAUCUAUGAACUACAACUCUAAGAAUCAUAAACUGAUGUUUGAUGACCCGACAAUUCGAUCAACGAACCAAGUUACCCUGGGGAUAACAGCGCAAUCUACUUCAAGAGCCCCUAUCGACAAGUAGGUUUACGACCUCGAUGUUGGAUCAGGGUGUCCUAGGGGUGCAGCCGCUCCUAACGGUUCGUUUGUUCAACGAUUAAAACCCUACGUGAUCU
rnacentral:rRNA from 1 species